AUUGAACGCUGGCGGCAGGCCUAACACAUGCAAGUCGAGCGGAAACGAGUUAUCUGAACCUUCGGGGAACGAUAACGGCGUCGAGCGGCGGACGGGUGAGUAAUGCCUAGGAAAUUGCCCUGAUGUGGGGGAUAACCAUUGGAAACGAUGGCUAAUACCGCAUGAUGCCUACGGGCCAAAGAGGGGGACCUUCGGGCCUCUCGCGUCAGGAUAUGCCUAGGUGGGAUUAGCUAGUUGGUGAGGUAAGGGCUCACCAAGGCGACGAUCCCUAGCUGGUCUGAGAGGAUGAUCAGCCACACUGGAACUGAGACACGGUCCAGACUCCUACGGGAGGCAGCAGUGGGGAAUAUUGCACAAUGGGCGCAAGCCUGAUGCAGCCAUGCCGCGUGUGUGAAGAAGGCCUUCGGGUUGUAAAGCACUUUCAGUCGUGAGGAAGGUGGUGUAGUUAAUAGCUGCAUUAUUUGACGUUAGCGACAGAAGAAGCACCGGCUAACUCCGUGCCAGCAGCCGCGGUAAUACGGAGGGUGCGAGCGUUAAUCGGAAUUACUGGGCGUAAAGCGCAUGCAGGUGGUUUGUUAAGUCAGAUGUGAAAGCCCGGGGCUCAACCUCGGAAUAGCAUUUGAAACUGGCAGACUAGAGUACUGUAGAGGGGGGUAGAAUUUCAGGUGUAGCGGUGAAAUGCGUAGAGAUCUGAAGGAAUACCGGUGGCGAAGGCGGCCCCCUGGACAGAUACUGACACUCAGAUGCGAAAGCGUGGGGAGCAAACAGGAUUAGAUACCCUGGUAGUCCACGCCGUAAACGAUGUCUACUUGGAGGUUGUGGCCUUGAGCCGUGGCUUUCGGAGCUAACGCGUUAAGUAGACCGCCUGGGGAGUACGGUCGCAAGAUUAAAACUCAAAUGAAUUGACGGGGGCCCGCACAAGCGGUGGAGCAUGUGGUUUAAUUCGAUGCAACGCGAAGAACCUUACCUACUCUUGACAUCCAGAGAACUUUCCAGAGAUGGAUUGGUGCCUUCGGGAACUCUGAGACAGGUGCUGCAUGGCUGUCGUCAGCUCGUGUUGUGAAAUGUUGGGUUAAGUCCCGCAACGAGCGCAACCCUUAUCCUUGUUUGCCAGCGAGUAAUGUCGGGAACUCCAGGGAGACUGCCGGUGAUAAACCGGAGGAAGGUGGGGACGACGUCAAGUCAUCAUGGCCCUUACGAGUAGGGCUACACACGUGCUACAAUGGCGCAUACAGAGGGCGGCCAACUUGCGAAAGUGAGCGAAUCCCAAAAAGUGCGUCGUAGUCCGGAUUGGAGUCUGCAACUCGACUCCAUGAAGUCGGAAUCGCUAGUAAUCGUGGAUCAGAAUGCCACGGUGAAUACGUUCCCGGGCCUUGUACACACCGCCCGUCACACCAUGGGAGUGGGCUGCAAAAGAAGUAGGUAGUUUAACCUUCGGGGGGACGCUUACCACUUUGUGGU
rnacentral:rRNA from 2 species